AACGAACGCUGGCGGCAGGCUUAACACAUGCAAGUCGAGCGCCCCGCAAGGGGAGCGGCAGACGGGUGAGUAACGCGUGGGAAUCUACCCAUCUCUACGGAAUAACGCAUGGAAACGUGUGCUAAUACCGUAUACGUCCUUCGGGAGAAAGAUUUAUCGGAGAUGGAUGAGCCCGCGUUGGAUUAGCUAGUUGGUGGGGUAAAGGCCUACCAAGGCGACGAUCCAUAGCUGGUCUGAGAGGAUGAUCAGCCACACUGGGACUGAGACACGGCCCAGACUCCUACGGGAGGCAGCAGUGGGGAAUAUUGGACAAUGGGCGCAAGCCUGAUCCAGCCAUGCCGCGUGAGUGAUGAAGGCCCUAGGGUUGUAAAGCUCUUUCACCGGUGAAGAUAAUGACGGUAACCGGAGAAGAAGCCCCGACUAACUUCGUGCCAGCCGCCGCGGUAACAU
rnacentral:rRNA from 1 species